UACGGAUGAAUGAGAGGCUCGGAAGCUUUGGUCGGUUUAGCGUCUGCCACGGCCACCACCUCUGGACCCUCGGUCCCGGACGAGCAGCUUUAUGGCGCUCCAGCACAGAAACCGGCGAGGACAAGUGGGAGGAAAGACAGCAUCAUGUGAGGUUAGCAGAAGGUCAUCAUACAAGCUGACCUUUUCUAUAUUAAAGUAAAUUAUGUGAGUGGGU
rnacentral:lncRNA from 1 species